rnacentral:rRNA from 1 species
GUGGGGAAUAUUGCACAAUGGGGGAAACCCUGAUGCAGCCAUGCCGCGUGUGUGAAGAAGGCCUUCGGGUUGUAAAGCACUUUCAGCGAGGAGGAAAGGUUGGUAGCUAAUAACUGCCAGCUGUGACGUUACUCGCAGAAGAAGCACCGGCUAACUCCGUGCCAGCAGCCGCGGUAAUACGGAGGGUGCAAGCGUUAAUCGGAAUUACUGGGCGUAAAGCGCACGCAGGCGGUUGGAUAAGUUAGAUGUGAAAGCCCCGGGCUCAACCUGGGAAUUGCAUUUAAAACUGUCCAGCUAGAGUCUUGUAGAGGGGGGUAGAAUUCCAGGUGUAGCGGUGAAAUGCGUAGAGAUCUGGAGGAAUACCGGUGGCGAAGGCGGCCCCCUGGACAAAGACUGACGCUCAGGUGCGAAAGCGUGGGGAGCAAACAGGAUUAGAAACCCCGGUAGUCC